CUAUGGGUGGUGGUGCAUGGCCGUUCUUAGUUGGUGGAGUGAUCUGUCUGGUUAAUUUCGAUAACGAACGAGACCUUAGCCUGCUAAAUAGGAUCGGGAACUUUUUUGUUCUCGCAUCACUUCUUAGAGGGACUUUGCGUGUCUAACGCAAGGAAGUUUGAGGCAAUAACAGGUCUGUGAUGCCCUUAGAUGUUCUGGGCUGCACGCGCGCUACACUGAUGCAUGCAACGAGUUUUUGACCUUGGCCGGAAGGUCUAGGUAAUCUUUUGAGUAUGCAUCGUGAUGGGGAUAGAUUAUUGCAAUUAUUAAUCUUCAACGAGGAAUGCCUAGUAGGCGCAAGUCAGCAGCUUGUGCCGAUUACGUCCCUGCCCUUUGUACACACCGCCCGUCGCUGCAACCGAUCGGAGGGUCCUGUGAACUCGAUGGACUGCCCAUCCCCUUCUUGGGGUUGGGCUGGAAGUUGCGUAAAUAGAGCCCUCUAAAGGAUGCAAAAGUCGUAACACGGUUUCCGUAGGUGAACCUGCGGAAGGAUCAUUC
rnacentral:rRNA from 1 species